UCUUAUUAAGAGUGGUGGAGGGACUGGCCCUAUGAAACCCAGCAACCUAUUUAUAUCUAAAUGUGGUGCUAAGUCCAACAGAUUAUCUGAGAAAUAAG
rnacentral:ncRNA from 1 species